rnacentral:rRNA from 1 species
AAAUUGAAGAGUUUGAUCAUGGCUCAGAUUGAACGCUGGCGGCAGGCCUAACACAUGCAAGUCGAACGGUAACAGGAAGCAGCUUGCUGCUUCGCUGACGAGUGGCGGACGGGUGAGUAAUGUCUGGGAAACUGCCUGAUGGAGGGGGAUAACUACUGGAAACGGUGGCUAAUACCGCAUAACGUCGCAAGACCAAAGAGGGGGACCUUCGGGCCUCUUGCCAUCAGAUGUGCCCAGAUGGGAUUAGCUUGUUGGUGAGGUAACGGCUCACCAAGGCGACGAUCCCUAGCUGGUCUGAGAGGAUGACCAGCCACACUGGAACUGAGACACGGUCCAGACUCCUACGGGAGGCAGCAGUGGGGAAUAUUGCACAAUGGGCGCAAGCCUGAUGCAGCCAUGCCGCGUGUAUGAAGAAGGCCUUCGGGUUGUAAAGUACUUUCAGCGGGGAGGAAGGUGUUGUGGUUAAUAACCGCAGCAAUUGACGUUACCCGCAGAAGAAGCACUGGCUAACUCCGUGCCAGCAGCCGCGGUAAUACGGAGGGUGCAAGCGUUAAUCGGAAUUACUGGGCGUAAAGCGCACGCAGGCGGUCUGUCAAGUCGGAUGUGAAAUCCCCGGGCUCAACCUGGGAACUGCAUUCGAAACUGGCAGGCUUGAGUCUUGUAGAGGGGGGUAGAAUUCCAGGUGUAGCGGUGAAAUGCGUAGAGAUCUGGAGGAAUACCGGUGGCGAAGGCGGCCCCCUGGACAAAGACUGACGCUCAGGUGCGAAAGCGUGGGGAGCAAACAGGAUUAGAUACCCUGGUAGUCCACGCCGUAAACGAUGUCUACUUGGAGGUUGUGCCCUUGAGGCGUGGCUUCCGGAGCUAACGCGUUAAGUAGACCGCCUGGGGAGUACGGCCGCAAGGUUAAAACUCAAAUGAAUUGACGGGGGCCCGCACAAGCGGUGGAGCAUGUGGUUUAAUUCGAUGCAACGCGAAGAACCUUACCUGGUCUUGACAUCCACAGAAGAAUCCAGAGAUGGAUUUGUGCCUUCGGGAACUGUGAGACAGGUGCUGCAUGGCUGUCGUCAGCUCGUGUUGUGAAAUGUUGGGUUAAGUCCCGCAACGAGCGCAACCCUUAUCCUUUGUUGCCAGCGGUUAGGCCGGGAACUCAAAGGAGACUGCCAGUGAUAAACUGGAGGAAGGUGGGGAUGACGUCAAGUCAUCAUGGCCCUUACGACCAGGGCUACACACGUGCUACAAUGGCGCAUACAAAGAGAAGCGACCUCGCGAGAGCAAGCGGACCUCAUAAAGUGCGUCGUAGUCCGGAUUGGAGUCUGCAACUCGACUCCAUGAAGUCGGAAUCGCUAGUAAUCGUGGAUCAGAAUGCCACGGUGAAUACGUUCCCGGGCCUUGUACACACCGCCCGUCACACCAUGGGAGUGGGUUGCAAAAGAAGUAGGUAGCUUAACCUUCGGGAGGGCGCUUACCACUUUGUGAUUCAUGACUGGGGUGAAGUCGUAACAAGGUAACCGUAGGGGAACCUGCGGUUGGA